UACGUAGGGACCGAGCGUUGUCCGGAAUCAUUGGGCGUAAAGAGCGUGUAGGCGGCCAUUUAAGUCCUGCGUGAAAUCUCGGGGCUCAACCCCGAGCGGUCGUGGGAAACUGGUUGGCUAGAGUGCGGGAGAGGAGAGUGGAAUUCCUGGUGUAGCGGUGAAAUGCGCAGAUAUCGGGAGGAACACCAGUGGCGAAGGCGGUCUUCUGGGAUGAUCCUGACGCUCAGACACGAAAGCUAGGGGAGCGAACGGG
rnacentral:rRNA from 1 species